GAACGCUGGCGGCAGGCUUAACACAUGCAAGUCGAGCGGAUGAAAGUAGCUUGCUACCGGAUUCAGCGGCGGACGGGUGAGUAAUGCUUAGGAAUCUGCCUAUUAGUGGGGGACAACGUUCCGAAAGGAGCGCUAAUACCGCAUACGUCCUACGGGAGAAAGCAGGGGACCUUCGGGCCUUGCGCUAAUAGAUGAGCCUAAGUCGGAUUAGCUAGUUGGUAGGGUAAAGGCCUACCAAGGCGACGAUCUGUAGCGGGUCUGAGAGGAUGAUCCGCCACACUGGGACUGAGACACGGCCCAGACUCCUACGGGAGGCAGCAGUGGGGAAUAUUGGACAAUGGGGGGAACCCUGAUCCAGCCAUGCCGCGUGUGUGAAGAAGGCCUUUUGGUUGUAAAGCACUUUAAGCGAGGAGGAGGCUACCUAGAUUAAUACUUUAGGAUAGUGGACGUUACUCGCAGAAUAAGCACCGGCUAACUCUGUGCCAGCAGCCGCGGUAAUACAGAGGGUGCGAGCGUUAAUCGGAUUUACUGGGCGUAAAGCGUGCGUAGGCGGCCAAUUAAGUCAAAUGUGAAAUCCCCGAGCUUAACUUGGGAAUUGCAUUCGAUACUGGCUGGCUAGAGUAUGGGAGAGGAUGGUAGAAUUCCAGGUGUAGCGGUGAAAUGCGUAGAGAUCUGGAGGAAUACCGAUGGCGAAAGCAGCCAUCUGGCCUAAUACUGACGCUGAGUACGAAAGCAUGGGGAGCAACAGAUUAGAUACCC
rnacentral:rRNA from 1 species